rnacentral:rRNA from 1 species
UACGGGGGGAGCAAGCGUUGUUCGGAUUUACUGGGCGUAAAGGGCGCGUAGGCGGCGUGACAAGUCACUUGUGAAAUCUCCGGGCUUAACUCGGAACGGUCAAGUGAUACUGUCGUGCUAGAGUACAGAAGGGCAACUGGAAUUCUCGGUGUAGCGGUGAAAUGCGUAGAUAUCGAGAGGAACACCUGCGGCGAAGGCGGGUUGCUGGGCUGAUACUGACGCUGAGGCGCGAAAGCUAGGGAGCGAACGG